rnacentral:tRNA from 3 species
CCAUCCAUAGCUCAGUUGGUAGAGCCUGCGUCUUAUACACGCAUGGUCCCUGGUUCGAGUCCAGGUGGAUGGACAA